GACGAACGCUGGCGGCGUGCUUAACACAUGCAAGUCGAACGGAAAGGCCCUGCUUUUGUGGGGUGCUCGAGUGGCGAACGGGUGAGUAACACGUGAGUAACCUGCCCUUGACUUUGGGAUAACUUCAGGAAACUGGGACUAAUACCGGAUAGGAGCUCCUGCUGCAUGGUGGGGGUUGGAAAGUUUCGGCGGUUGGGGAUGGACUCGCGGCUUAUCAGCUUGUUGGUGGGGUAGUGGCUUACCAAGGCUUUGACGGGUAGCCGGCCUGAGAGGGUGACCGGCCACAUUGGGACUGGGAUACGGCCCAGACUCCUACGGGAGGCAGCAGUGGGGAAUAUUGCACAAUGGGCGGAAGCCUGAUGCAGCAACGCCGCGUGCGGGAUGACGGCCUUCGGGUUGUAAACCGCUUUCGCCUGUGACGAAGCGUGAGUGACGGUAAUGGGUAAAGAAGCACCGGCUAACUACGUG
rnacentral:rRNA from 1 species